rnacentral:rRNA from 1 species
UACGUAGGGGGCAAGCGUUGUCCGGAAUUAUUGGGCGUAAAGAGCGCGUAGGCGGUCCGAUAAGUCGACUGUGAAAGUCUAGGGCUCAACCCUGGAAAGCCGGUCGAUACUGUCGGACUAGAGUCCGGAAGAGGCAAGUGGAAUUCCCGGUGUAGCGGUGAAAUGCGCAGAUAUCGGGAGGAACACCAAUGGCGAAGGCAGCUUGCUGGGACGGUACUGACGCUGAGGCGGCGAAAGCGUGGGGAGCAAACAGGG